GUCACAGUCUAGCCCUUUGCUUUGAUUACGGCUGAAUAUGCCUCAACAAAUCUGUAGAGAGUUGGUUGUAUAUGAGUGACUCUACACAGGAAGGCUGGCUGUGUCACUGUGAGUCUGCGGGAGUAUUCUGGAUCUGCAGCAGUGAAUCUACAGAGGAGAUAGAAGAUAAUCCAGCACAUGCUGUUAGAAGCAAAAAAAUACAGAAACCCCUUUGAGUCUCAACCAGAUGGAAAACCUCUUCCAUUUAGCCAGGAUUGACUUGAUCAACAGGCUGAGUGCAUCGAAGCUGGAGGAUCAGAUUACACUUAUGCUGGACAACACCUGUGAUGUGGAUGGACCCAUUGUCAGCCAGUCAUCCUGGUAAGAAAAAACAUGGACCCGGACCUCUGAAGGAAUGCUGUUGCCAGCACCACAUGUUUUGUAAAUACCUGCAGGGCAGCUGAGAGACCAGAAAAGAGCACAGUGAACUGACAAUGGUGACCACUGAUAGUAUAUCUCGGAAAUAUUAUGUUGUUCUGAUGAAUCACCAUAUGGAAGUAAGUGUCCUUUAAUUCAAGAGCACUAUACCAGUCCCCUGGCUCCAGGGAAGGAAUAAUGGAAGCUAAAAUGACCAUAUGGAAUUUUGAUUUUAGAGGAACUUGGUUUACUCCCUUAGAUAUAAAAUAGGCCAGAGACCCCAUUUUGCUUUUGGGAUCAGGAAGUAUAAGGAGUAAAACCCUUUUCCCUUUACAAAGGAGGGAUUUCUUCUAUAGCUCCUACAAGAGCCAUAUGGACAAGGCUUGGGACCAAGGUCUUCUGGUCACCCAGCCUGGACAGCAUUUUCUAUACACACUUCCCUCUCUAUUAUAUUAACCCUUUCAGAAGAGAUCACUUCGAAAAGAAAAAAGGUAAUUCAGUUCCAUGCUCACUCUCCCCAAAGACUGACAGAUGGUGGUUUCUGUCAUGUGAACACCAGCCCGUAGUGAGAUCAUUAACUCAUGUCACAUAAGCUACAGAAUAGAUUUAUCAAAAGCCAUUUUAGCCAUUCCCAACUUGGAGCCACUCCCAUCCUGAACCAACAUGCUUUUUCGAUGAAAUGUUCUGUAUGCCACUGCCAGCUAUCUUCCUUUGAAGGGUUAUCAUUGGAACCUUGCAAAGCGACCUGGUGCCCUGCCUAGAUUUUCAGCAGGACUGAAGAUUCAGGUCUGAUAGCAUAGUUUACCGCAUGCUCUUUUCCAUUUGGUGUGAUUCAAAAGUAACAUGAAAUAAUUCUUUUCAGCAUUCUUCUGCAUUUCCAAUUGUUACUAAUUAUAGCACAUCAUCUAGCUUAUCCUGUACGUUCCAUGUCUCUGGCUUGCAUGGAGCCACAUAUUGUAAUUGGUGAUUAUUAUUU